AUUGAACGCUGGCGGCAGGCCUAACACAUGCAAGUCGAGCGAGCGGCGGACGGGUGAGUAAUGUAUGGGGAUCUGCCCGAUAGAGGGGGAUAACUACUCGAAAGAGUGGCUAAUACCGCAUACUCUUGGAGCGGCCGAUAUCGGAUUAGCUAGUUGGGGGGGGAAAGGCUCACCAAGGCAACGAUCCGUAGCUGGUUUGAGAGGACGACCAGCCACACUGGGACUGAGACACGGCCCAGACUCCGACGGGAGGCAGCAGUGGGGAAGAUUGCACAAUGGGCGCAAGCCUGAUGCAGCCAUGCCGCGUGGAUGAAGAAGGCCUUCGGGUUGUAAAGUACUUUCAGCGGGGAGGCGUUACCCGCAGAAGAAGCACCGGCUAACUCCGUGCCAGCAGCCGCGGUAAUUC
rnacentral:rRNA from 1 species